CCAGAAUCUCACGAGCAAGCUCAUGAACAUCCACUUCAACAUUUCAAAUCCAUUUAAAGGAGGAUGGUGACAGAGCAUCAGACCCAUAAAAGAGCAGAGCAGAGUCAAGUACAGCUAUGCCUUUUCCUGAAGAUGUCUGCUCAAUGAUAGUCAUCUGACCUAGUUUUAUGAUAUGGAUUAAAGUAAAUCCUAUAAUGGUAAUGGCUGUCAUAAUUGCUAUGUGACAUACAGUCCCAGAGAUCUAUCCCAAUGUGAAAGUUACAUACAUCACAUUUUCAGAGAGGAAACUGCAGAGGAAUUUCAGGGAGUUUCUGUUCAGUUCUUUGGAUCAGAAUAACCCAAUCAGGUUUAAAGUGAGGAUGGACAGAUAUUGAAAUGCCCAACUUAUUGUACCUAGGUGCCAAAGGAGAUGAUGGAAAUGUCAAAAGCUGAUGGGAAAAAAACCCCAAAGUAAAAGUCUAUGACCUCAAGACAUGAAGAAAUGACUGAAGGUAAGGGUUUGUAUUGGUGUGCAUGUGUGUGGGCAGUUUGUCCAGGGAGAGGGGGUUAAUUAUGAAGGGAGACAAACAAAAAGUGAGUGUGGCUUAGAAGGCCGCAUAAAUGCCUAUAUCAAAGAAAGACACAAAAAAAUACUUAACUUGCAAAUAAUGAAAAAGUGCUGGAAUUCCUUGUACACAUUAGAAUCAUACACUCAUGGAAAUAUUUAGGUUGGGGAUGAGCUCUGAGAUCAUUGAGGCCUACCAUUAAAUCAGCACUGUCAAGUCCACCACUAACCUGUGUCCCUGAGCUCCAUAUUUGCACAUCUUUUAAAUAUCCCAGGGACAGUGGCUCCCCAACUUCCCUAGGCAGCCUGUUCCAAUGCUUGAUAACCGUUUCAGUGAUGAAAAUUUUAUAAUAUCAGAUUUAAACCUCCCCUGGUGCAACCUGAGACCAUUUCAUUUUGUCUUACUGCUUGUUACCUGGAGAAGAGACCCUCUCCUCACUAUCUCUUUUCAGGCAGUUGUAGAGAGUGAUAAGGUCACCCAUGAGCCUCCUUUUCUCUGGCUAAACAACCCCAGCUCUGUUUCUCCUCAAAAGACUUGUGGUCCAGAUUCUUUACCAGGAUCACUGCCCUCCUUUGAAUAUUGUACUCAAUCUAGAUGAUAAAUAUAAUUUUAUAGAAUGUAAGAUUACAAAGUAUUAUAGACAAAUAACAUAUAAUGAGAAACUCUUGGGGAGGGAGGCAAUUAAAGACAAAAUAUAAGGUCUUUUUUACUCUGAGUGGGAAACUCUUUCUAGUACGGCCAGGGCUAUACAGACUAACAGAAAAGGUCAUCAGGGACAGACUGAGGUGUAUAUAAGUUUGUUAGAUGUGUUCAACUAAAACCUUGAGGAGGGCGGUUGAUAAGACAUCUCCCAUGACCUAGGGCUGCUGGGAUGUGCUCACAGGAGGAGCCUUCCUUCUGCUGUGGAAGGAACUGCCAAGGAAAUGUUGUGGGCAACAGUUUCAGCCUAGGACAGAAUGAAGUUACAGUCUGGGGGCUUUGGAGGGAAAAUAGUAAUUUUUUUUUUUCCUGAGGUAUCUCAGAAAUAUUUUGUAACCUCAAAAGAAAAGGAAGACAUUCCUAAAAUAGAAAAUAAUUUGUACACUUUACAUUAAGUUUGGAAUAAAUUUUUGUUUACAUAGUUUAACAGAGGAAAAGCUUUAAUGUUAUUUGAAAUACUUAAAAGUUUGAAUGAUUUUUCAUCAAGAAUUCUGCAUUUUUUCCAGAGUAGCUAGUGUGGGGCUAUGUUUUGGAUUUGUGCUGAAAACAGUGUUGAUAACAAAGGGAUGUUUUAGCAAUUGCUGAGCAGGGCUGACACACAGCCAAGGCUAUUUCUGCUUCCCACCCCACCAGUGAAAAGGCUGGGGAUGCACAAGAAGUUUUGGGGGACAAAACUGGGGCAGCUGACCCCAGCUGGCCUAAGGGAUAUUCCAUACCCUGUGACAUCAUGCUCAGCACAUACAGCUGGAGGAGGAAGCAAGAAGGGUGGGACAUUUGGAGGGGUGGCAUUUGUCUGCCCAAGCCACCAUCAUGUGAGGUGGAGCCCUGCUCUCCUGGAGAUGGCUGAACAUCUGCUUGUCAGUAGGGUGUGGUCGUGCAGGGGAACCAUACCGAGAAUCAUGUUUUCAGCACACAGAACACAGAAAAUGAAAAUAUACUUAGGGCGCUUUCAGGGAAUUUUUUAAGUCAUCAGGAAGCUUUAGGUUAUUUGAUCAGCUACACCUGGAUCUUGUCUGGAUGCAAAAAUUUAAGCAAAUAUUUUUGUCAGCAGAGAAAAUGCCUCCAGUAACAAAAGGCACAUUUGAUGCAUUCUUUUCCUCUAUGUUCCCAUUUUUUGUGUCAAAUCCAUACAGUCAGAAGAUCUGGAUAUCCUUUCUUCACAUUUUCAGCUAACUGCAGUGUGUAAAAUAAUGCCAUGCCAAGAUUAUGUGUACUGAAGAUAUGGUAUGAUGAAAGCUGGGUCUGUAGAAAGAUUUCUCAGGAAAUGGCACUCUGCAAACUUUAACAGGUCUCUAGAACAUCCUGUGUCAAACACAGUGUGCCAAGAUUGUCCCCCUCCCAAAAUAUGGCUACUGUUAACUGAGUGGUAAUUUCAGUGUCUUUUCUUCUCUUUCAUCAGCUGAAUGUCAAGAUGAUGUCUAUAUUUCAUGUACAUAAAGUGAAUGGGGAAAUUUUCUCAGUGGAUACCUUUUCUGCUUUUUAAUAAAUUCUUCCUUUUGCCUGAAGAGAAUUAGAAGUUGGCUUUUGACCUCCAUUAAUUUUUUUAAUUUAAUAUUUCUCUGCAUGCAUUA